GCUACCUUUGCACAGUGGUAGUGCGCUUCACUUGUAAUGAAGAGGUCCGUAGUUCGAUCCUGCGAGGUAGCU